rnacentral:lncRNA from 1 species
CUUCGCGCAGACAGCCUCAGUUUCCCCACGGAGGACGCCGACUCGAGGGCUCGCGGGCAUCCGCCCUGCGGGCCUCACCGCCCCGGAUGCCCCCACAGCGGGCGCCGCGGCAGAGCCAGGAAAGCCGGAAGUUGGAACUGGGUAGCCGGACGGGAAACGCGGGGACACCGGCGAGAGUCAGGCAGCACCAGGGGGACCCUCCCCCUCGGUGGCGCUGCCCCUCCAGGGCGCCGACGGGAGCGCGCAGCUCAGUGAGGCCACCAGAUACCGGAGGUGGCAUUUGUUGAGUGUUUCCGGUGCCUGAAGCUCUGAUAAGCGCCUUCAUCCAUGAUAGUUAUCCUUGUGACAGGCUCCUGAGGUGAGUACGUACUUAUACUGGUGGCCUGCGAGCUGGACAGCAGAUGUUUUCUGCUGGACUUGUAUGGAGUUCUAAAAUGUUUAGUCAUCAACAUUUCAAAGUCAAUAUGUUUCACAUAGAAAUCGAACUCUUUUUGGCUUCUGUUGAAAAAUCUUCAAGCUUUGGCAAUACUGGGCUCCCAACCACCCCCUUUAAACAAAAUGUGGUUUCUUGAGGCCCUUGAAGUCUCUCCCCACUCCGGUCUUACACCCAAGGCAUUGAUCAUUUAUGGUACUGCCAGUUGCUGGAGGCAUUUGAGUUUUAACCUCUGCUUUACUUUUUGAUUCUGCCUUUCCUGCUGCCUUUCGGAACUCUUUCAGGGGCUGCAGUUCCUGCACAGCAAAUGUAGUAACCCUUCCUGCUAGACCUGCUCAGUCCUAGAGCCAGCCCUGGAAGACUUUCCUCUCAUUUCCAAGAAGGGGCGAAUGUCAUAUAGCAGGUGCUCAAUUAGUAUUUUCUGAACAGUUAAGUAAGUGUUGAGGUUUCAUUUGGUCUAGUUUAGGCGAUAUCGUGGUGGGUUCCAAACCUCUGGGGGGUGAAAGCAGGAGUGAGUUCCCUUACUCUGGACACUGGCUCUGCUCCUCGUUUGAUGGAGAAAUACUCACAGACUGAGCAGAUAAUCUUUUCCAGGACCCCCUGUGGCUUUUUCUCAGUUUAGAGCUCUCUCUCUCUCAGUUGAAGACAGUACUGAUUUUUGCUACAACUUUGUACAUCCCUGUUUACCUUGAGGAUUAAAACAGCUGGAAAUACUGACCAGAGACAAACCCCAGGGGUCCUUUUUCUUUCUUUAAAGUGACAGUGGAAUUGAUCAGAAUCCUAGGACUCCUAAAGCAUAUUUAACUCCAAAAGCAGAGACACAAACUCGAAAUGCUGCAGGGACCGAGUGGAGA